rnacentral:rRNA from 1 species
AACGAACGCUGGCGGCAGGCUUAACACAUGCAAGUCGAACGGGCGUAGCAAUACGUCAGUGGCAGACGGGUGAGGAACACGUGGGAAUAUCCCCUUCAGUUCGGAAUAACUCAGGGAAACUUGAGCUAAUACCGGAUACGUCAGAGAUGGGAAAGAUUUAUCGCUGAAGGAUUAGCCCGCGUCUGAUUAGCUAGUUGGUGAGGUAAUGGCUCACCAAGGCUACGAUCAGUAGCUGAUCUGAGAGGAUGAUCAGCCACAUUGGGACUGAGACACGGCCCAAACUCCUACGGGUGGCAGCAGUGGGGAAUAUUGGACAAUGGGCGCAAGCCUGAUCCAGCCAUGCCGCGUGAGUGAUGAAGGCCUUCGGGUUGUAAAGCUCUUUUGUCCGGGAAGAUAAUGACUGUACCGGAAGAAUAAGCCCCGGCAAACUUCGUGCCAGCCGCCGCGGUAA